rnacentral:sRNA from 12 species
CCUUUGGAGAGUCAUAUCAAACGAAAGUAGCUACGGUAAAAUCGGAUUCUGCGAAGAAGGAA